rnacentral:rRNA from 1 species
GACGAACGCUGGCGGCGUGCCUAAUACAUGCAAGUCGAGCGCAGGAAGCUCACGGAACUCUUCGGAGGGAAGUGAAGGGAAUGAGCGGCGGACGGGUGAGUAACACGUAAGGAACCUGCCCCAAGGAUUGGGAUAACUCCGAGAAAUCGGAGCUAAUACCGAAUAGUUCUUCAGACCGCAUGGUCUGAUGAUGAAAGGCGCUUCGGUGUCACCUUGGGAUGGCCUUGCGGUGCAUUAGCUAGUUGGUGGGGUAAUGGCCCACCAAGGCGACGAUGCAUAGCCGACCUGAGAGGGUGAUCGGCCACACUGGGACUGAGACACGGCCCAGACUCCUACGGGAGGCAGCAGUAGGGAAUCUUCCACAAUGGACGAAAGUCUGAUGGAGCAACGCCGCGUGAGUGAUGAAGGUUUUCGGAUCGUAAAACUCUGUUGUAAGGGAAGAACAGGUAUGAGAGGUAAUGCUCAUGCUAUGACGGUACCUUACGAGAAAGCCACGGCUAACUACGUGCCAGCCGCCGCCGUAAGAC